rnacentral:rRNA from 1 species
AGAGUUUGAUCCUGGCUCAGAACGAACGCUGGCGGCGUGGCUAAGGCAUGCAAGUCGAACGGGCAUAGUUUUUGGGUAACCGAGUUCUAUGCUAGUGGCGAACGGGUGAGGAAUACAUGGACAACGUGCCCCGUGCACAGGGAUAGCGGCGGAACUUCGGUUCCUUUGCGAAAGUGCCGGUAAUACCCGAUGACCCGCGGAAUCUCCUGGUUCUGCGGGCAAAGCUCCGGCGGCGUGGGAGCGGUCCAUGUCCUAUCAGCUUGUUGGUGGGGUAACGGCCUACCAAGGCAACGACGGGUACCGGGUGUGAGAGCAUGACCCGGCACAUCGGGACUGAGACACUGCCCGGACACCUACGGGUGGCUGCAGCAACGAAUAUUCCGCAAUGGACGCAAGUCUGACGGAGCGACGCCGCGUGCAGGAAGAAGUCCCUCGGGAUGUAAACCCCUGUAGGCGGAACGAAUCCCCUGAGGACGAACAAUCCUUGGGGUUGACGGUACCGCCAGAGGAAGCCCCGGCUAACUACGUGCCAGCAGCCGCGGUAAUACGUAGGGGGCAAGCGUUGCUCGGAUUUACUGGGCGUAAAGAGCGCGUAGGCGGCCAGGUAAGUCCGAUGUGAAAUUCCUCGGCUCAACCGAGGGACCGCAUCGGCAACUACUUGGCUUGAGUCCAGGAGAGGAGGGUGGAAUUCCCGUGUAGCGGUGAAAUGCGUAGAUAUCGGGAGGAACACCAGUGGCGAAGGCGGCCCUCUGGAAUGGUACUGACGCUGAGGCGCGAAAGCUGGGGGAGCGAACGGGAUUAGAUACCCCGGUAGUCCCAGCCGUAAACGAUGGGCACUAGGUGUGGGAGGUAUUGACCCCUUCCGUGCCGCAGCUAACGCAUUAAGUGCCCCGCCUGGGGAGUACGGCCGCAAGGUUGAAACUCAAAGGAAUUGACGGGGGCCCGCACAAGCGGUGGAGCAUGUGGUUUAAUUGAUGCAACGCGAAGAACCUUACCAGGGCUUGACAUCCAGCGAACUUACUAGAGAUAGUUUGGUGCCUUCGGGAAUCCAGACACAGGUGUUGCAUGUCUGUCGUCAGCUCGUGUCGUGAGAUGUUGGGUUAAGUCCCGCAACGAGCGAAACCCUUAUUGUUAGUUGCCAGCGGGUAAGGCGGGGACUCUAGCGAGACUGCCGUUGUUAAAACGGAGGAAGGUGGGGACGACGUCAAGUCAUCAUGGCCCUUAUGGCCUGGGCGACACACGUGCUAGAAUGGCUUGUACAAAGGGACCGAGACCGCGAGGUGGAGGCAAUCCCACAAAGCAAGCCCCAGUUCGGAUUGCAGGCUGAAAUUCGCCUGCAUGAAGUUGGAAUCGCUAGUAAUCGCGUAUCAGCCAUGACGCGGUGAAUAUGUUCCUGAUCCUUGUACACCCCGCCCGUCAAGCCACGAGAGCCGGGAGUGCCCGAAGUCGCGAUCCCAACCGUCAAGGAGGGUAGCGCCGAAGGCAAGCUGGUGACUGGGACUAAGUCGUAACAAGGUAACC